rnacentral:tRNA from 1 species
GGUGGCUCAGUGGAAGAGUGCUUGCCUUGCAUGCAUGAGGCUCUGGGUUCAAUUCCUCAGUACCA